rnacentral:rRNA from 1 species
CACCACGAAGUAGCUAGUCUAACCUUCGGAGGACGGUUACCACGGUGUGAUUCGAUGACUGGGGUG